GACAGAGGUGCCAAGCGUUAGGCGGAAUCACUGGGCUUAAAGCGCGUGUAGGCGGCUUGGCAAGUCGGGUGUGAAAGCCCUGGGCUCAACCUAGGAAGUGCACUCGAAACUGCCUCGCUUGAAUGCCGGAGAGGAAAGCGGAAUUCUCGGUGUAGAGGUGAAAUUCGUAGAUAUCGAGAGGAACACCGGUGGCGAAGGCGGCUUUCUGGACGGUGAUUGACGCUGAGACGCGAAAGCGUGGGGAGCAAACAGG
rnacentral:rRNA from 1 species